rnacentral:rRNA from 1 species
GCAAUACUUAGUGGCAGACGGGUGAGUAACAUGUGGGUAUCUACCCUUUGGCCUGGAAUAACACGAGGAAACUUGUGCUAAUACCGGAUAAGUCUUUACGGAGAAAGCUUUAUGCACCAUUGGAUGAGCCCGCACUUGAUUAGUUUGUUGGUAGGGUAAUGGCCUACCAAGACUAUGAUCAAUAGCUGAUUUGAGAGGAUGAUCAGCCACAUUGGGACUGAGACACGGCCCAAACUCCUACGGGAGGCAGCAGUGGGGAAUCUUGCACAAUGGAGGAAACUCUGAUGCAGCGAUGCCGCGUGAGUGAAGAAGGCCUUUGGGUUGUAAAGCUCUUUCGUCGGGGAAGAAAAUGACUGUACCCGAAUAAGAAGGUCCGGCUAACUUCGUGCCAGCAGCCGCGGUAAUACGAAGGGACCUAGCGUAGUUCGGAAUUACUGGGCUUAAAGAGUUCGUAGGUGGUUGAAAAAGUUGGUGGUGAAAUCCCAGAGCUUAACUCUGGAACUGCCAUCAAAACUUUUCAGCUAGAGUAUGAUAGAGGAAAGCAGAAUUUCUAGUGUAGAGGUGAAAUUCGUAGAUAUUAGAAAGAAUACCAAUUGCGAAGGCAGCUUUCUGGAUCAUUACUGACACUGAGGAACGAAAGCAUGGGUAGCGAAGAGGAUUAGAUACCCUCGUAGUCCAUGCCGUAAACGAUGUGUGUUAGACGUUGGAAAUUUAUUUUCAGUGUCGCAGGGAAACCGAUAAACACACCGCCUGGGGAGUACGACCGCAAGGUUAAAACUCAAAUGAAUUGACGGGGACCCGCACAAGUAGUGGAGCA